AUCAUGGCUCAGAUUGAACGCUGGCGGCAGGCCUAACACAUGCAAGUCGAGCGGAAACGACAACAUUGACCCUUCGGGUGAUUUGUUGGGCGUCGAGCGGCGGACGGGUGAGUAAUGCCUGGGAAAUUGCCCUGAUGUGGGGGAUAACCAUUGGAAACGAUGGCUAAUACCGCAUAAUGUCUACGGACCAAAGAGGGGGACCUUCGGGCCUCUCGCUUCAGGAUAUGCCCAGGUGGGAUUAGCUAGUUGGUGAGGUAAUGGCUCACCAAGGCGACGAUCCCUAGCUGGUCUGAGAGGAUGAUCAGCCACACUGGAACUGAGACACGGUCCAGACUCCUACGGGAGGCAGCAGUGGGGAAUAUUGCACAAUGGGCGCAAGCCUGAUGCAGCCAUGCCGCGUGUAUGAAGAAGGCCUUCGGGUUGUAAAGUACUUUCAGUCGUGAGGAAGGC
rnacentral:rRNA from 2 species